CUCUGGUUUUGGGUUCUACUAGUUUUGUCUUGUUUGGUGUCUAUCCUAGCCUUGUUUCUGUACUGGAUACAUUCUUGCUGCAGAGCCUCCCUAUUCAGCUCGUGGGAGGUCUACUUAAUUCCUGCUCCUAGUUCUUGGGAUCCGCUGUAGCUGCAUCAGGGUUCUGGUAUGUGGCCGCACAAACGCUGGUGCUCAACACCAGAGGGCGUGUGGUUACCCUGCACU